rnacentral:rRNA from 2 species
AGAGUUUGAUCAUGGCUCAGGACGAACGCUGGCGGCGUGCCUAACACAUGCAAGUCGAGCGGGGAGAGAUUUUCGGAUUUCUCUUUAGCGGCAGACGGGUGAGUAACACGUGGGUAACCUGCCUCAAAGUGGGGGAUAGCCUUCCGAAAGGAAGAUUAAUACCGCAUAAUAUCAGAGCACUGCAUGGUGCUGUGAUUAAAGGAGCAAUCCGCUUUGAGAUGGACCCGCGGCGCAUUAGCUAGUUGGUGAGGUAACGGCCCACCAAGGCGACGAUGCGUAGCCGACCUGAGAGGGUGAUCGGCCACAUUGGAACUGAGACACGGUCCAGACUCCUACGGGAGGCAGCAGUGGGGAAUAUUGCACAAUGGGGGAAACCCUGAUGCAGCAACGCCGCGUGAGUGAUGAAGGCCUUCGGGUCGUAAAGCUCUUUGAUCAGGGACGAUAAUGACGGUACCUGAAAAACAAGCCACGGCUAACUACGUGCCAGCAGCCGCGGUAAUACGUAGGUGGCGAGCGUUGUCCGGAUUUACUGGGCGUAAAGAAUGCGUAGGUGGAUAUUUAAGUGGGAUGUGAAAUCCCCGGGCUCAACCCGGGAACUGCAUACCAAACUGGAUAUCUGGAGUGCAGGAGAGGAAAGCGGAAUUCCUAGUGUAGCGGUGAAAUGCGUAGAUAUUAGGAGGAACACCAGUGGCGAAGGCGGCUUUCUGGACUGUAACUGACACUGAGGCAUGAAAGCGUGGGGAGCAAACAGGAUUAGAUACCCUGGUAGUCCACGCCGUAAACUAUGGGUACUAGGUGUAGGGGGUAUCGACUCCCCCUGUGCCGUCGUUAACACAAUAAGUACCCCGCCUGGGGAGUACGGUCGCAAGACUAAAACUCAAAUGAAUUGACGG